UGGGGAGUGAUCAGCCAGUCCCCUGAGAACUUCCCCCUCCAGCACUAGAGACAAUGAGAAUUUGGGUCGCAGCUGUUUUCCUUGUAACAGCAUUGGAAGAUGCCCAGUCCCAGGUGCAGCUGGUGGAGUCCGGAGGGGAUGUGAAGAAGCCCGGAGACUCUCUGCGCCUCUCCUGCAAAGCCUCCGGCUUCACCUUCACUGACUACUGGAUGAGCUGGGUCCGUCAGGCUCCGGGGAAGGGGCUGGAGUGGAUCGGGGAAAUACACCCAAGUUCAUCUUCCAUCAAUUACGCCCAGGCCUUCAAGGGCCGCUUCACCAUCUCCAGGGACAAUCCCAACAACCUGCUGUUCCUGCAAAUGACCGGCCUGAAGCCCGAGGACACCGCCCGCUAUUACUGUGCCAGACACACAAUGACACGGACCCUGCGGCUGCUCGUACACAAACCAGAGCUGCGGAACUUCCCGCGUCUGCCGCACGGGGGCAGCAGAGACACGCGCCAAACAGCCCUGUCUGGAGCGCAGGAGAGCGAAGGGCCAUCAGGAUGGAACGCUCUGACGUCACAAAUUAACUCUUUCGCUACUUACACAUUUUAAGAAGUCGGUUCUUGGACAGAGAAGCA